CCCUGCCAGCUUGUCAAUACCAGAUCUGGUCUGAUCUCAGAUGCUAAGCAAGGCCCGGCCUGAUUAGUCCUUGAAUAGGAGACCACUGGGAAUACCAGGUGCCACGGGGG
rnacentral:rRNA from 1 species